AGCUGAUCACUGGGUGUAAAGCGUGCGCAGGCGGUGAUGUAAGACAGAGGUGAAAUCCCCGGGCUCAACCUGGGAACUGCCUUUGUGACUGCAUCGCUGGAGUGCGGCAGAGGGGGAUGGAAUUCCGCGUGUAGCAGUGAAAUGCGUAGAUAUGCGGAGGAACACCGAUGGCGAAGGCAAUCCCCUGGGCCUGCACUGACGCUCAUGCACGAAAGCGUGGGGAGCAAACA
rnacentral:rRNA from 1 species